rnacentral:rRNA from 1 species
ACACGGAGGGCGCAAGCGUUGCUCGGAAUCACUGGGCGUAAAGCGGGUGUAGGCGGUCUAGCAAGUCAGAUGUGAAAGCCCACGGCUCAACCGUGGAAGUGCAUCUGAAACUGCUAGACUUGAGUGCCGGAGAGGGAAGUGGAAUUCCUGGUGUAGGGGUGAAAUCCGUAGAUAUCAGGAGGAACACCGGUGGCGAAGGCGACUUCCCGGACGGCCACUGACGCCGAGACCCGAAAGCGUGGGGAGCAAACAGGAUUAGAAACCCCAGUAGUCC